CCUACGGGAGGCAGCAGUGGGGGAUAUUGGACAAUGGGGGAAACCCUGAUCCAGCGACGCCGCGUGAGUGAAGAAGUAUUUCGGUAUGUAAAGCUCUAUCAGCAGGGAAGAAAGAAAUGACGGUACCUGAGUAAGAAGCCCCGGCUAACUACGUGCCAGCAGCCGCGGUAAUACGUAGGGGGCGAGCGUUAUCCGGAAUUAUUGGGUGUAAAGGGUGCGUAGACGGGAAUGCAAGUUAGUUGUGAAAUCCCUCGGCUUAACUGAGGAACUGCAACUAAAACUACAUUUCUUGAGUGCAGGAGAGGUAAGUGGAAUUCCUAGUGUAGCGGUGAAAUGCGUAGAUAUUAGGAGGAACACCAGUGGCGAAGGCGACUUACUGGACUGUAACUGACGUUGAGGCACGAAAGUGUGGGGAGCAAACAGGAUUAGAUACCCCUGUAGUC
rnacentral:rRNA from 1 species